rnacentral:rRNA from 1 species
UGGGGAAUAUUGCACAAUGGGCGCAAGCCUGAUGCAGCCAUGCCGCGUGUGUGAAGAAGGCCUUCGGGUUGUAAAGCACUUUCAGCGGGGAGGAAGGCGUUAAGGUUAAUAACCUUGGCGAUUGACGUUACCCGCAGAAGAAGCACCGGCUAACUCCGUGCCAGCAGCCGCGGUAAUACGGAGGGUGCAAGCGUUAAUCGGAAUUACUGGGCGUAAAGCGCACGCAGGCGGUCUGUCAAGUCGGAUGUGAAAUCCCCGGGCUCAACCUGGGAACUGCAUUCGAAACUGGCAGGCUAGAGUCUUGUAGAGGGGGGUAGAAUUCCAGGUGUAGCGGUGAAAUGCGCAGAGAUCUGGAGGAAUACCGGUGGCGAAGGCGGCCCCCUGGACGAAGACUGACGCUCAGGUGCGAAAGCGUGGGGAGCAAACAGG